UCAGAGUAGCUGGAUUCAUAAUAGAUGUGUUUCUGCCGGACUGAUUGCGACUGUCGUUCAUGAUUGCUCAUGGCAGACUAUGUGCUUGAUGUUGUUGUGGUUUAUCACAGCGGAUGUUAAUUCUGUCUAUUUUAGUGGUCAACACGUCGCUAAUAAUAAACUGAAGAAGGAACUGAGAGCCAAUCAGAGCCAGCGAGAGACAGCAUGUAAUUUUCAGCUGUGGUUGUUUCACACUUUUUUUUUGUCUUUCAUCAGAUCUGUCAGCAGGAGUUGGGCUGAUGUAAAGCUCUUAGGAUUGUUUUUUUUUUUUUUUGUGCUCCGAGUGGACGAGAUCAGUGAUGAGAACCUGUUAGAGUUCCGCGGAGAUGGAUGAUGUAACCUGUUGUCACGGAGCCACAGCACGACACUCUGAUCCUCUGCGCCAAGAGCCGACACGCAGACAGCAAAGGAAUAUAACGCAAUCCAGGACUCUGGAGGAAACUUCGGCCCACAGAACAUGUUCUCUCUCUACCCCGCUCUCUGUUUCUCUCUCAACAUUAUUUUAUUUAUGAUUAUAUUGUAUUGAUAUGAAACACAUUUUCUGUUCAAACAAAAGUAUUAUCACUGUGUUUUUGAAACAUUUAAUGUCAAAUGGGAAUAUUAUAAUAUUGGCAUUUGAAAGCUAUACUCAAAAAAAAAACAAAAAAAAAAACAUUUUUGUUUCAUUGAAAACAGUUCAUUUAGAAUUAUUGUCUAUUUUGUGAAUAAAAUUGAUCAGGACAUAAACUCAAACCUGCAUCAAACUUAUGUCAGGUAACAUGUCACUCACCAGCGUAAAUUGCUGAUUAAACAUUGUGAUCUAAUAUAAAUACACACAAAUCUGUGGUUUCGCCCUGUGAAAAUAUAUAUGUGUGUAUGUGUGUGUGUAGAGAUGCGUCAUCCGUGUGUGCAGAGCUGGUGUGAAUGACGCCGUGAGGCUGCACUAGAGGCCACAAGAGAGAAAUGAGACUGACAGAAUACGAGACAGAGAUUAUUAACACCAGAGUUCUGCCUGAGCUAAAGUACCCCUACGAUGCUCCGGUGCUGCCAAGACUAUUCGGUGCGGAUGCAAGGAAGUUACCAGGUGUUCUACGUGUUUUCUUGCAGGUGUAAUUCAAAGUAGCCCUUUAUUUUUUUAUUUAAAUUUAAUUGAAUUUAUUUCUGCUUAUAUUUCACACUUUUAUUUCUGUUUUAAGUAAUUAGAAUGCACAAUUUCAUAUUCUAACGUUUGUCAUAAAUGUACAGUGGUGGCCAAAAUUGUUAGAACACUUGACAUAUUUAAGAGGUUUUAGUUGUUUGUUGAAUUGCCCAUUACAAUACCCUUAAAACUAACUAUUGCAAGAACCACCUGCGACGGAAGGGAUCUGCUGGAACACUGGAAAUGAUGGACUGGUCCCCUCAAAGUUCGCAUAUCAGCCUCAUCGAGCAAAUUGGGGGCGAUUUGGAAAAUAAACUGGACAGAUCUAUUGCCCAUUCAAGCCUUUGGCUUGAGUUGCAGAAGGCUUGGGAUAACAGUGUUCUCAGGAAAUAUACUGACACUGUGCCAGAGAGAUGUGCUGCUGUAAUUGCGGCAAAAGGUGGAAAGUUGACAGUGGAUAAAAACAGUACAACUCACUUCAUCUGAUAUUUGUUGUGCUCAAAACAACCAUCUGCAUGUUUCAUGAACAUAAUCAAUAUUUUCAGAUCUGUCAGGUGUUGUAAUACUUUUAGCCACAA